rnacentral:lncRNA from 1 species
GAGACUUUUCCAUGUUGAUUCGGCCUUUGUGAUGUUUCUCACGCCGAGUGACUUUAAUCCUUGCCUUUACAUGGCUUUCGAUCACAUAGAUGAGAGUUUUGCCUAAUUGGUUUCACAUUUUGGCUUUUGUGAUUCUUCUCAUCGCAAUUGACUUUGAACUUAGCUUUUCCUAACUUUUUGAUCACUUGGAUAAGAUUUUUGGCUUUUGCCUCCCAAACCAUUUCGUUGUGCUUUAAUGUUGUGAACACACUCAUCAAGGGGGAGAUUGAGAAAUCAAGUUGAUAUGAACCUUGAUUUUAUAGUGAUGAGCGUUUGACAAAUGUUGAAAUGGAUUGUUGAAAUGGCUUUGACGGCAUUUUAUAGCUCUUGUGUCUUUCGCUUGACUCUUUGGUUGUCUUGUGGGAUUCAUCAAGGGGGAGAUUGAGAAAUGGCUUUGAUGGCAACCUAGAAUUUUUGUUUGGAGCUUGCAUGAUCCUUUCUCAUAUCAAGUUGCCUUGUGUUUGCUUUUACCAAGUUGAGAUGUGCCUUCGUCUAUGUGUGAUGAGUGAUUGACUAGAUGAUUUGAGGCUUUACCGGUUGAGUCCAUACUUCAUAUGUGCAUGAUUAUCCUAACGGUUAACCGUAUGUGUUGUGUUGUAUUGUGGUGUUCGUACAAAACAUAUCUUGUGUGUUGUAUCUCUUGGCUUGUGAUGUGCAGGUGUUGGAUGCGGUGUGGCGGCCGUCGGCAUGUGGUGAAGGUCAAGUGAAAGGUCCAUGCUGAUGUACUAGGGCUAUGAAGGGUGGACACAAGUAGGCUUGGACUGAGGGACUUGAGGAGUCUGGGCAGAGUCAUGGGCGAUCCACAUGGUGCACGGAAGAGCAAGAGUACACGAACUGUGAUGGAGACGGCCUCGGUCGAGUCAAGCAGGACGGAGGCAAGUUGAGUAGGUGGCCCGGGUGCCGGGAGCGAAAUACUUAGACGCGUCGGAGGCUUGGCGGAGGCCGAACAUGCGUCGACAUCGGUGAGUCACGCCUUGCGAAGCGUGCGAGAGGGUUUGACCGGUUUGGCCUUAAAAC